GGGGAAUAUUGGACAAUGGGCGAAAGCCUGAUCCAGCAACGCCGCGUGAGGGAUGACGGCCUUCGGGUUGUAAACCUCUUUCAGCAGGGACGAAGCGAAAGUGACGGUACCUGCAAAAGAAGCACCGGCCAACUACGUGCCAGCAGCCGCGGUAAUACGUAGGGUGCGAGCGUUGUCCGGAAUUAUUGGGCGUAAAGGGCUCGUAGGCGGUUUGUCACGUCGGGAGUGAAAACUCGGGGCUCAACCCCGAGCUUGCUUCCGAUACGGGCUAACUAGAGGUAUGCAGGGGAGAACGGAAUUCCUGGUGUAGCGGUGAAAUGCGCAGAUAUCAGGAGGAACACCGGUGGCGAAGGCGGUUCUCUGGGCAUUACCUGACGCUGAGGAGCGAAAGUGUGGGGAGCGAAC
rnacentral:rRNA from 1 species